rnacentral:rRNA from 1 species
GUCAGAUGUGAAAGCCCAGGGCUCAACCUUGGAACUGCAUUUGAUACUGGCAAACUAGAGUAAGGUAGAGGAAUGGGGAAUUUCUGGUGUAGCGGUGAAAUGCGUAGAGAUCAGAAGGAACACCAAUGUCGAAGGCAACAUUCUGGACCGAUACUGACACUGAGGUACGAAAGCGUGGGGAUCAAACAGGAUUAGAUACCCUGGUAGUCCACGCUGUAAACGAUGAGUACUAGCUGUU